GUUCUGCGUGAGGGCUCUGGGUCCAACCUCCCACCCGUGUUUAUUGUACCUUGUUGCUUCGGUGCGCCCGCCUCACGGCCGCCGGGGGGCUUCUGCCCCCGGGCCCGCGCCCACCGAAGACACCAUUGAACUCUGUCUGAAGAUUGCAGUCUGAGCAUAAACUAAAUAAGUUAAAACUUUCAACAACGGAUCUCUUGGUUCCGGCAUCGAUGAAGAACGCAGCGAAAUGCGAUAACUAAUGUGAAUUGCAGAAUUCAGUGAAUCAUCGAGUCUUUGAACGCACAUUGCGCCCCCUGGUAUUCCGGGGGGCAUGCCUGUCCGAGCGUCAUUGCUGCCCUCAAGCACGGCUUGUGUGUUGGGCUCCGUCCCCCCGGGGACGGGCCCGAAAGGCAGCGGCGGCACCGAGUCCGGUCCUCGAGCGUAUGGGGCUUUGUCACCCGCUCUGUAGGCCCGGCCGGCGCCAGCCGACAACCCAUCAUCCUUUUCAGGUUGACCUCGGAUCAGGUAGGGAUACCCGCUGAACUUAAGCAUAUCAAAAGCCCGAAGGAA
rnacentral:rRNA from 1 species